GCUGCGGCAGCGACACUAUGUGUUGUUGGGUAGGGGAGCGUUCUGUAAGCCUGCGAAGGUGUGCUGUGAGGCAUGCUGGAGGUAUCAGAAGUGCGAAUGCUGACAUAAGUAACGAUAAAGCGGGUGAAAAGCCCGCUCGCCGGAAGACCAAGGGUUCCUGUCCAACGUUAAUCGGGGCAGGGUGAGUCGACCCCUAAGGCGAGGCCGAAAGGCGUAGUCGAUGGGAAACAGGUUAAUAUUCCUGUACUUGGUGUUACUGCGAAGGGGGGACGGAGAAGGCUAUGUUAGCCGGGCGACGGUUGUCCCGGUUUAAGCAUGUAGGCUGAUUGUCCAGGCAAAUCCGGAUAAUCAAGGCUGAGGUGUGAUGACGAGGCACUACGGUGCUGAAGUAACAAAUGCCCUGCUUCCAGGAAAAGCCUCUAAGCAUCAGGUAACAUUAAAUCGUACCCCAAACCGACACAGGUGGUCAGGUAGAGAAUACCAAGGCGCUUGAGAGAACUCGGGUGAAGGAACUAGGCAAAAUGGUGCCGUAACUUCGGGAGAAGGCACGCUGGUGUGUAGGUGAAGUCCCUGCGGAUGGAGCUGAGACCAGUCGAAGAUACCAGCUGGCUGCAACUGUUUAUUAAAAACACAGCACUGUGCAAACACGAAAGUGGACGUAUACGGUGUGACGCCUGCCCGGUGCCGGAAGGUUAAUUGAUGGGGUUAUCCGUAAGGAGAAGCUCUUGAUCGAAGCCCCGGUAAACGGCGGCCGUAACUAUAACGGUCCUAAGGUAGCGAAAUUCCUUGUCGGGUAAGUUCCGACCUGCACGAAUGGCGUAAUGAUGGCCAGGCUGUCUCCACCCGAGACUCAGUGAAAUUGAACUCGCUGUGAAGAUGCAGUGUACCCGCGGCAAGACGGAAAGACCCCGUGAACCUUUACUAUAGCUUGACACUGAACAUUGAGCCUUGAUGUGUAGGAUAGGUGGGAGGCUUUGAAGCGUGGACGCCAGUCUGCGUGGAGCCAACCUUGAAAUACCACCCUUUAAUGUUUGAUGUUCUAACGUUGGCCCCUGACCGGGGUUGCGGACAGUGUCUGGUGGGUAGUUUGACUGGGGCGGUCUCCUCCCAAAGCGUAACGGAGGAGCACGAAGGUUAGCUAAUCCUGGUCGGACAUCAGGAGGUUAGUGCAAUGGCAUAAGCUAGCUUGACUGCGAGCGUGACGGCGCGAGCAGGUGCGAAAGCAGGUCAUAGUGAUCCGGUGGUUCUGAAUGGAAGGGCCAUCGCUCAACGGAUAAAAGGUACUCCGGGGAUAACAGGCUGAUACCGCCCAAGAGUUCAUAUCGACGGCGGUGUUUGGCACCUCGAUGUCGGCUCAUCACAUCCUGGGGCUGAAGUAGGUCCCAAGGGUAUGGCUGUUCGCCAUUUAAAGUGGUACGCGAGCUGGGUUUAGAACGUCGUGAGACAGUUCGGUCCCUAUCUGCCGUGGGCGCUGGAGAAUUGAGGGGGGCUGCUCCUAGUACGAGAGGACCGGAGUGGACGCAUCACUGGUGUUCGGGUUGUCAUGCCAAUGGCACUGCCCGGUAGCUAAAUGCGGAAGAGAUAAGUGCUGAAAGCAUCUAAGCACGAAACUUGCCCCGAGAUGAGUUCUCCCUGAGACUUUAAGUCUCCUGAAGGAACGUUAAAGACGAUGACGUUGAUAGGCCGGGUGUGUAAGCGCAGCGAUGCGUUGAGCUAACCGGUACUAAUGAACCGUGAGGCUUAACCUU
rnacentral:rRNA from 1 species